rnacentral:rRNA from 1 species
GACGAACGCUGGCGGCGUGCUUAACACAUGCAAGUCGAACGGAAAGGCCCUGCUUUUGUGGGGUGCUCGAGUGGCGAACGGGUGAGUAACACGUGAGUAACCUGCCCUUGACUUUGGGAUAACUUCAGGAAACUGGGGCUAAUACCGGAUAGGAGCUCCUGCUGCAUGGUGGGGGUUGGAAAGUUUCGGCGGUUGGGGAUGGACUCGCGGCUUAUCAGCUUGUUGGUGGGGUAGUGGCUUACCAAGGCUUUGACGGGUAGCCGGCCUGAGAGGGUGACCGGCCACAUUGGGACUGAGAUACGGCCCAGACUCCUACGGGAGGCAGCAGUGGGGAAUAUUGCACAAUGGGCGGAAGCCUGAUGCAGCAACGCCGCGUGCGGGAUGACGGCCUUCGGGUUGUAAACCGCUUUCGCCUGUGACGAAGCGUGAGGGACGGGAAUGGUAAAGAAGCACCGGCUAACUACGUG